rnacentral:tRNA from 1 species
CAGAGGAUAGUUUAAAUAAAAUUUUAAUUUUGGGGAUUAAUGAUGAGUGAAUUACUUUUCUCUGA